rnacentral:rRNA from 1 species
GACGAACGCUGGCGGCGUGCCUAAUACAUGCAAGUCGAGCGGACGGAUGGGAGCUUGCUCCCAGACCGUCAGCGGCGGACGGGUGAGUAACACGUGGGCAACCUGCCUGUAAGACUGGGAUAACUCCGGGAAACCGGGGCUAAUACCGGAUAACUCUUUCCCUCCCGUGAGGGAAAGCUGAAAGAUGGCAUCUCGCUAUCACUUACAGAUGGGCCCGCGGCGCAUUAGCUAGUUGGUGAGGUAACGGCUCACCAAGGCGACGAUGCGUAGCCGACCUGAGAGGGUGAUCGGCCACACUGGGACGGAGACACGGCCCAGACUCCUACGGGAGGCAGCAGUAGGGAAUCUUCCGCAAUGGACGAAAGUCUGACGGAGCAACGCCGCGUGAGUGAUGAAGGUUUUCGGAUCGUAAAACUCUGUUGUCAGGGAAGAACAAGUACCGGAGUAACUGCCGGUACCUUGACGGUACCUGACCAGAAAGCCACGGCUAACUACGUG